AGAUCCACGAACUGGGCAAACAAAUCGCUAUCUCUUUCUAUUGCUUUAGAUCAAUCUCAUCAAACAAAGAAUCAAAUACAAAGAUCAAACGCAACAACCUCGAAGGAAGAACAAUUGAAGUUGUAUCGAUUUGAUGAAGACAAGAAGUAAGAAAGAAAGAGAGGAGCUGCAGGUUGUGAAAACCAAAAAUUUUGAUGAUAGCAAUGACAUGAUAAAUUGUAUUGCUGAGUUGGUGUGGCGUUAACUCAUUGUACGAGUUGACUCAAUCUUUUAAAAAAGUUUGAAGUCAGAAUAUUUUAGAUUGUUAUAUGUGAUAAGACAGUAAUUAACUAUAUUUUAUAGCCGGUUAACAG